CCUACGGGAGGCAGCAGUGAGGAAUAUUGGUCAAUGGGCGGGAGCCUGAACCAGCCAAGUAGCGUGAAGGAUGACUGCCCUAUGGGUUGUAAACUUCUUUUAUAAGGGAAUAAAGUGCGGCACGUGUGCGUUUUUGUAUGUACCUUAUGAAUAAGAAUCGGCUAAAUCCGUGCCAGCAGCCGCGGUAAUACGGGGAAUCCGAGCAUUAUCCGGAUUUAUUGGGGGGAAAGGGAAGGCAGGCGGUCUUUUAAGUGUGAUGGGAAAACCUUCGGCUAAACCGGCCUAGUGCCGUUGAAACUGGGGGACUUGAGUGUGCGAGAGGUAAGUGGAAUUCGUGGUGUAGCGGUGAAAUGCGUAGAUAUAACGAAGAACUCCAAUUGCGAAGGCAGUUCACCGGACCGCAACUGACGCUGAGGUUCGAAAGUGUGGGUAUCAAACAGGAUUAGAUACCCGAGUAGUC
rnacentral:rRNA from 1 species